rnacentral:rRNA from 1 species
AUUGAACGCUGGCGGCAUGCUUUACACAUGCAAGUCUAACGGUAACAGGCUUCAGGGUCCUGAUAAGUGGAGAACUGGUGUGUAAUGCAUCGGAACGCAUCGCCACCUAGUGGAUCACGCAGCAAAAGCUUUGCAAAAACCGCAUAUGAUCUCAUCAGCAAAGCGGGUGAACGCGGAGCAUUGUCUGGCCUCGCGCUAUUGCAUGGGCCGAUGUCAGAUUCGAUAGUUGGUGGGGUAAAGGCCUAACAAGCCGACGAUCCGUAGCUGGUCUGAGAGGAAGAGCAGCCACAAUAGGACUGAGACACGGUCCAGACUCCUAAGGGAGACAGAAGUGGGGAAUGUUGGACAAUGGGCGAAAGCCUGAUCAAGCAAGAACGCGUGAGUGAAGAAGGCCUUCGGGUUGUAAAACGCUUUUGUUAGGAACGAAAAGGAGCUGGCUAAUACCGGGAGCUGAUGACGGUACCGUAAGAAUAAGCACCGGCUAACUACGUG